rnacentral:rRNA from 1 species
UACGAAGGGGGCUAGCGUUGUUCGGAAUCACUGGGCGUAAAGCGCACGCAGGCGGAUCGUUAAGUCAGGGGUGAAAUGCCGAGGCUCAACCUCGGAACUGCCUUUGAUACUGGCGAUCUUAGAGUCCGGGAGAGGUGAGUGGAACUCCGAGUGUAGUGGUGAAAUGCGUAGAUAUCGGGAGGAAUACCAGUGGCGAAGGCGGCUUCCUGGCCUGUUCUUGACGCUGAGGCGCGAAAGCUAGGGUAGCAAACGGG